ensembl:snoRNA small nucleolar RNA SNORD89
GCUGGGACAUGAUGUAAACAAAAGGCCGAAUUGUAGCACCCUCGCCUAGCAGCUUGUUCCCUGUGCAAUGGGCGCUGUGACAAAAACUCGACCGAAGCGUGAUCUGAUCCCAGC